rnacentral:SRP_RNA from 1 species
GCCGGGCAUGGUGGCUCAUGCCUGUAAUCCUAACACUUUGGGAGGCCGAGGUGGGUGGAUCACCUGAGGUCAGGAGUUCUACACCAGCCUGGCCAACAUGGUGAAACCCCAUCUCUC